GGAGGAUACCGCUGAAUGGUCGGCAACUGGUCUUGAAAACCAGGGUAGUCCUUGGGCUAGGGGUUCGAUUCCUCUAUCCUCCGCCA
rnacentral:tRNA from 1 species